rnacentral:sRNA from 1 species
GAUCAUUGACAUACUGACAAGGCUAAAAAGACAAAGAGAUAACUAACGUAGAGAGGCUUCAAGCCCUCUACAAGUGACUAACAAUAUAGCUUGCAGUCUUAGACCUAUCGUGCUAAGAGCUGAACGGCUAACGACCGCCACCCCGCCCCUCGUAAAGGGCUUGCAAGCAC